rnacentral:rRNA from 1 species
CCUACGGGAGGCAGCAGUGGGGAAUAUUGGACAAUGGACCGAGAGUCUGAUCCAGCAAUUCUGUGUGCACGAUGACGUUUUUCGGAAUGUAAAGUGCUUUCAGUUGGGAAGAAAAAAAUGACGGUACCAACAGAAGAAGUGACGGCUAAAUACGUGCCAGCAGCCGCGGUAAUACGUAUGUCACGAGCGUUAUCCGGAUUUAUUGGGCGUAAAGCGCGUCUAGGUGGUUAUGUAAGUCUGAUGUGAAAAUGCAGGGCUCAACUCUGUAUUGCGUUGGAAACUGUGUAACUAGAGUACUGGAGAGGUAAGCGGAACUACAAGUGUAGAGGUGAAAUUCGUAGAUAUUUGUAGGAAUGCCGAUGGGGAAGCCAGCUUACUGGACAGAUACUGACGCUGAAGCGCGAAAGCGUGGGUAGCAAACAGGAUUAGAUACCCUGGUAGUC